GGGAUGAAGAGAUUUGCGUUGCUUCUUUGCGCAGAAGAUUCCGAAUACGUUAAAAUCAAGUACGGAGGAUAUUUCGGAGUGUUCGUCAGAAUGUUGGGCGAAGAAGGCGAGGCCUGGGAUCGUUUCCGUGUGGCUGCCGGCGAGUUUCCGCCCGACGAUCAGAUCGACGACUACGACGGAUUUGUGAUCUCCGGUAGCUGCAACGACGCUCACGGCGACGAUCCUUGGAUCUGCCGAUUGAUCGCUUUGUUGCAAAGAUUGGCGUCCUUGAACAAGCGAAUCCUCGGUAUUUGCUUCGGCCAUCAGAUACUGGGACGUGCUUUGGGGGGAAAGACAGGCAGAGGUAGAUCUGGAUGGGACAUCGGGAUAACAACCGUACACGUGUCCUCAUCUUACAAGCUCUUCUCGUCCCUCAAAAUACCCACCGCUCUCUCUGUGAUCGAAUGCCAUCGUGACGAGAUCUACGAACUUCCUUCCAAGGCCGAAGUGAUUGGACGGUCACAUAAGUAUGGCAUAGAGAUGUUUAAAUAUGGGGAUCAUAUCCUAGGCAUUCAAGGUCACCCCGAGUACACCAAAGACAUUCUCCUACACCUCAUCGACCGUCUUGUCCUACGAAAUCUCAUCACGGAUGAGUUUGCUGAGGAGAUGAGGAGCAAUUUGGAAGAAGGAGAGGCAGAUAGGGAAGCAUGGAAGAGGC
rnacentral:misc_RNA from 1 species